UGGGGAAUAUUGCACAAUGGGCGCAAGCCUGAUGCAGCCAUGCCGCGUGUAUGAAGAAGGCCUUCGGGUUGUAAAGUACUUUCAGUCGGGAGGAAGGCGGUAAGGUUAAUAACCUUAUCAAUUGACGUUACCGACAGAAGAAGCACCGGCUAACUCCGUGCCAGCAGCCGCGGUAAUACGGAGGGUGCAAGCGUUAAACGGAAUUACUGGGCGUAAAGCGCACGCAGGCGGUUGAUUAAGUCAGAUGUGAAAUCCCCGGGCUUAACCCGGGAAUUGCAUCUGGUACUUGUCAGCAGGAGACUUGUAGAGGGGGGUGGAAUUCCAUGUGUAGCGGUGAAAUGCGUAGAGAUGUGGAGGAAUACCGGUGGCGAAGGCGGCCCCCUGGUCAAAAACUGACGCUCAGGUGCAAAAGCGUGGGGAGCAACCAGG
rnacentral:rRNA from 1 species